rnacentral:rRNA from 1 species
UACGUAGGCAGCAAGCGUUGUUCGGAAUUACUGGGCGUAAAGAGUGUGUAGGCGGUGUUCUAAGUCUGUUGUGAAAUCUCCCGGCUUAACUGGGAGGGUGCGGCGGAAACUGGAAUGCUAGAGGAUGGGAGAGGUAAGCGGAAUUCCUGGUGUAGCGGUGAAAUUCGUAGAUAUCAAGCAGAACACCUGCGGCGAAGGCGGCCUUCUCGGACGAUGACUGACGCUGAGACGCGAAAGCGUGGGGAGCAAACAGG